rnacentral:rRNA from 1 species
GAUGAACGCUGGCGGCGUGCCUAAUACAUGCAAGUCGAGCGAAUGGAUUAAGAGCUUGCUCUUAUGAAGUUAGCGGCGGACGGGUGAGUAACACGUGGGUAACCUGCCCAUAAGACUGGGAUAACUCCGGGAAACCGGGGCUAAUACCGGAUAACAUUUUGAACCGCAUGGUUCGAAAUUGAAAGGCGGCUUCGGCUGUCACUUAUGGAUGGACCCGCGUCGCAUUAGCUAGUUGGGGAGGUAACGGCUCACCAAGGGAACGAUGCGUAGGCGACCUGGGAGGGUGAUCGGCCACACUGGGACUGAGACACGGCCCAGACUCCUACGGGAGGCAGCAGUAGGGAAUCUUCCGCAAUGGACGAAAGUCUGACGGAGCAACGCCGCGUGAGUGAUGAAGGCUUUCGGGUCGUAAAACUCUGUUGUUAGGGAAGAACAAGUGCUAGUUGAAUAAGCUGGCACCUUGACGGUACCUAACCAGAAAGCCACGGCUAACUACGUGCCAGCAGCCGCGGUAA